GACGAACGCUGGCGGCGUGCCUAAUACAUGCAAGUCGAGCGAAUCGAUGGGAGCUUGCUCCCUGAGAUUAGCGGCGGACGGGUGAGUAACACGUGGGUAACCUGCCUGUAAGACUGGGAUAACUUCGGGAAACCGGAGCUAAUACCGGAUACGUUCUUUUCUCGCAUGAGAAGAGAUGGAAAGAUGGUUUCGGCUAUCACUUACAGAUGGACCCGCGGCGCAUUAGCUAGUUGGUGAGGUAACGGCUCACCAAGGCGACGAUGCGUAGCCGACCUGGGAGGGUGAUCGGCCACACUGGGACUGAGACACGGCCCAGACUCCUACGGGAGGCAGCAGUAGGGAAUCUUCCGCAAUGGACGAAAGUCUGACGGAGCAACGCCGCGUGAGCGAAGAAGGCCUUCGGGUCGUAAAGCUCUGUUGUUAGGGAAGAACAAGUACAAGAGUAACUGCUUGUACCUUGACGGUACCUAACCAGAAAGCCACGGCUAACUACGUGCCAGCAGCCGCCGUAACAC
rnacentral:rRNA from 1 species